rfam:Bifidobacterium longum NCC2705, complete genome.
GAAACGCGAACCAAGCGGCGGCGACAGUCGCGUGAGACUUGGAGCUGGUCUCGGCAACGAGGCCAUGCA